rnacentral:misc_RNA from 1 species
UAAAUUCUAUAAUUAAUUUUAAUUUCAGAAUUCAGUGAAUCAUCUAAUCUUUUAACUCACAUUGCGCCCGGCAGCAAUCUGCCGGGCAUGCCUGUCCGAGCGUCAUUUCUGCCCUCGAGCGCUUUUCGGCCCCUAGCGGGCCGGCCGCCGCCCGGUGUUGGGGCGCUGCGGGCCCUCGUGCCCGCAGGCCCUGAAAUGAAGUGGCGGUCCCGCCGCGGCGCCCCCUGCGUAGUAGUAAAGCACCUCGCAUCGGGUCCCGGCGGAGGCCAGCCGUCGAACCUCUCUUUUGAUGGUUUGACCUCGGAUCAGGUAGGGUUACCCGCUGAACUUAAGC